UGGCUUCGGUUUUUCAUGAAGUGCAGUUGGACCUAGUGGAUCUAUCUGUCUGUGAACAUAUCCUACAGACCCUCAGACUAGGACUGCAAAACUUCACAGUGCUGUGUGCUGGUCCAGGGAGAGGAGGGAAAGAUGCCUGCCGGGUACUAAUUCAACCUUCGAUCAAAGGGAGACUCGUGUGGUCCUUUGCUGUGUCCACGGGCUAAUGGACAGAUGGUGGUGGUCGGAAUCACGUCUUGGGGCAAAAUUUGUGGAUGCAGCUGGAUAAACAACAAGAUAAAACCUCGGAUUCCAAACAUUCUUUAAGUGGCUGCUCCGGAAAGCUCUGCUCUCUACUGAAAGAGGAGAAGUUCUAGAGUUUGAUGGCCACUGAAAGAAAAUACCUCCUGUGGAAAGAAAGCUAACGUGGUUUUGCUUCACUCAGAGAAAGUCAUCUCGACAAUGAGGCAUGCUCCUGGUCUAUCACUAUACCAGAGGGAAAAAUAAUUUUGAUGGAAUACCUGAGGUUUGACCUGGAGAACCACCCUGAAUGCCAAAGUGACCAUCUCCCAGUGUUUGCUGGUGAAGGCCUACCUAUAGGACCAGUCUGUCCCCGGCGGUCCUACAGAGCCCUGACUACCCACGAUCCUAUAGCGACGAUACCCACUGCCGCUGGGUAAUCUAUGUCCCCGAGGGUUAUGUUGUCAAGGUAA